GCUAUGAUAGUUGAAUAAAAUGUUAGAUUCUUAAUCUAAAAAGUGUUAGCUUAUGCUAUCUCAUUGCA
rnacentral:tRNA from 1 species